CAGCCGCCGCGGGAAUACGAACCGUCCGAACGUUAUUCGGAAUUACUGGGCUUAAAGCGCGUGUAGGCGGCUGGGCACGUCCGGUGCUGAAAUCCCCCGGCUUAACCGGGGAAGUGGCACGGAUACGGCCUGGCUGGAGGGAGGUAGGGGGGUCUGGAACUUCGGGUGGAGCGGUGAAAUGCGUUGAGAUCCGAAGGAACGCCCGUGGCGAAAGCGAGGCCCUGGACCUUUUCUGACGCUGAGACGCGAAAGCCAGGGGAGCGAACGGGAUUAGAUACCCGCGUAGUCCCUGUCUCUUAUC
rnacentral:rRNA from 1 species